GACGAACGCUGGCGGCGUGCUUAACACAUGCAAGUCGAACGGAAAGGCCCUGCUUGCAGGGUACUCGAGUGGCGAACGGGUGAGUAACACGUGGGUGAUCUGCCCUGCACUUCGGGAUAAGCCUGGGAAACUGGGUCUAAUACCGGAUAGGAGCCAUUUUUAGUGUGAUGGUUGGAAAGUUUUUUCGGUGUAGGAUGAGCUCGCGGCCUAUCAGCUUGUUGGUGGGGUAAUGGCCUACCAAGGCGGCGACGGGUAGCCGGCCUGAGAGGGUGGACGGCCACAUUGGGACUGAGAUACGGCCCAGACUCCCACGGGAGGCAGCAGGGGGGAAUAUUGCACAAUGGGCGCAAGCCUGAUGCAGCGACGCCGCGUGGGGGAGGACGGCCUUCGGGUUGGAAACUCCUUUCGCUAGGGACGAAGCUUUUUGUGACGGUACCUAGAGAAGAAGCACCGGCUAACUACGUG
rnacentral:rRNA from 1 species